UGAAUUGCCAAGUCACUAAUACCAAACCCCAAACAGGCAAUUCAAAUUCCAGGCGGGAGAUGAAAACUUCAUUCCAGAACGAGAUCUUCAUCUCUCAAACCAGAGUUUCCCAAAUCCAAGUCAGCCCUAAACCCCAAAUUCAAAAUUAAUUCGAAACUGAAGGCUCCCAAAAGGCGAUUCUUUGAAACCGUUGACAUGGAGAGAACAAAUGGAGGAAACGUUCAGUUCGAAUCACUUCGAGAUGUCCCUCGACUUAACCAUCUGAAAGGGUAAAGGAGACACGGAAAGGGCAUCUAUUUCACCUGUCUACUUGAGAAGAAGAAUUAGCUUUAAAUUUCAUGGCUUUGUAAUACAGAAUAAAAUAUUCAUGCUUAACAUUUUAUUAUUGUUGAUGUUAAAA